rnacentral:rRNA from 1 species
AAUCCAUAGGUUAAUGAGGCGAACCGGGGGAACUGAAACAUCUAAGUACCCCGAGGAAAAGAAAUCAACCGAGAUUCCCCCAGUAGCGGCGAGCGAACGGGGAGGAGCCCAGAGCCUGAAUCAGCAUGUGUGUUAGUGGAAGCGUCUGGAAAGGCGCGCGAUACAGGGUGACAGCCCCGUACACAAAAGCGCAUGUGCUGUGAGCUCGAUGAGUAGGGCGGGACACGUGGUAUCCUGUCUGAAUAUGGGGGGACCAUCCUCCAAGGCUAAAUACUCCUGACUGACCGAUAGUGAACCAGUACCGUGAGGGAAAGGCGAAAAGAACCCCGGCGAGGGGAGUGAAAAAGAACCUGAAACCGUGUACGUACAAGCAGUGGGAGCCCCACCACCAAAGCGUUUCGCUUUGUGUGGUGCACAAAGAAGCGUAACGACAGCACUGAAUGACGGUUAACGGAGCGCAAGCGACGUUCAACAUACAAAGUCAAGCAGUGGAGCGCUUUGGGGUGGGGUGACUGCGUACCUUUUGUAUAAUGGGUCAGCGACUUAUAUUCUGUAGCAAGGUUAACCGAAUAGGGGAGCCGGAGGGAAACCGAGUCUUAACCGGGCGUUAAGUUGCAGGGUAUAGACCCGAAACCCGGUGAUCUAGCCAUGGGCAGGUUGAAGGUUGGGUAACACUAACUGGAGGACCGAACCGACUAAUGUUGAAAAAUUAGCGGAUGACCUGUGGCUGGGGGUGAAAGGCCAAUCAAACCGGGAGAUAGCUGGUUCUCCCCGAAAGCUAUUUAGGUAGCGCCUCGUGAAUUCAUCUCCGGGGGUAGAGCACUGUUUCGGCUAGGGGGCCAUCCCGGCUUACCAACCCGAUGCAAACUGCGAAUACCGGAGAAUGUUAUCACGGGAGACACACGGCGGGUGCUAACGUCCGUCGUGAAGAGGGAAACAACCCAGACCGCCAGCUAAGGUCCCAAAGUCAUGGUUAAGUGGGAAACGAUGUGGGAAGGCCCAGACAGCCAGGAUGUUGGCUUAGAAGCAGCCAUCAUUUAAAGAAAGCGUAAUAGCUCACUGGUCGAGUCGGCCUGCGCGGAAGAUGUAACGGGGCUAAACCAUGCACCGAAGCUGCGGCAGCGACGCUUAUGCGUUGUUGGGUAGGGGAGCGUUCUGUAAGCCUGUGAAGGUGGCCUGUGAGGGUUGCUGGAGGUAUCAGAAGUGCGAAUGCUGACAUAAGUAACGAUAAAGCGGGUGAAAAGCCCGCUCGCCGGAAGACCAAGGGUUCCUGUCCAACGUUAAUCGGGGCAGGGUGAGUCGACCCCUAAGGCGAGGCCGAAAGGCGUAGUCGAUGGGAAACGGGUUAAUAUUCCCGUACUUGGUGUUACUGCGAAGGGGGGACGGAGAAGGCUAUGUUGGCCGGGCGACGGUUGUCCCGGUUUAAGCGUGUAGGUGUGUGUUCCAGGUAAAUCCGGUUCACUUUAACACUGAGGCGUGAUGACGAGGCACUACGGUGCUGAAGCAACAAAUGCCCUGCUUCCAGGAAAAGCCUCUAAGCAUCAGGUAACAUCAAAUCGUACCCCAAACCGACACAGGUGGUCAGGUAGAGAAUACCAAGGCGCUUGAGAGAACUCGGGUGAAGGAACUAGGCAAAAUGGUGCCGUAACUUCGGGAGAAGGCACGCUGACACGUAGGUGAAGUGAUUUACUCAUGGAGCUGAAGUCAGUCGAAGAUACCAGCUGGCUGCAACUGUUUAUUAAAAACACAGCACUGUGCAAACACGAAAGUGGACGUAUACGGUGUGACGCCUGCCCGGUGCCGGAAGGUUAAUUGAUGGGGUCAGCGCAAGCGAAGCUCCUGAUCGAAGCCCCGGUAAACGGCGGCCGUAACUAUAACGGUCCUAAGGUAGCGAAAUUCCUUGUCGGGUAAGUUCCGACCUGCACGAAUGGCGUAAUGAUGGCCAGGCUGUCUCCACCCGAGACUCAGUGAAAUUGAACUCGCUGUGAAGAUGCAGUGUACCCGCGGCAAGACGGAAAGACCCCGUGAACCUUUACUAUAGCUUGACACUGAACAUUGAGCCUUGAUGUGUAGGAUAGGUGGGAGGCUUUGAAGUGUGGACGCCAGUCUGCAUGGAGCCGACCUUGAAAUACCACCCUUUAAUGUUUGAUGUUCUAACGUGGACCCGUUA